rnacentral:rRNA from 1 species
UACGUAGGGGGCGAGCGUUGUCCGGAUUUAUUGGGCGUAAAGAGCGUGUAGGCGGCCAGGUAGGUCUGCUGUGAAAACUCGAGGCUCAACCUCGAGACGUCGGCGGAAACCAUCUGGCUAGAGUCCGGAAGAGGAGAGUGGAAUUCCUCGGUGUAGCGGUGAAAUGCGCAGAUAUCAGGAAGAACACCCGUGGCGAAGGCGGCUCUCUGGGACGGUACUGACGCUGAGACGCGAAAGCGUGGGGAGCAAACAGG